UACGUAGGGUGCGAGCGUUAAUCGGAAUUACUGGGCGUAAAGCGUGCGCAGGCGGUUUUGCAAGCCGGAUGUGAAAUCCCCGGGCUUAACCUGGGAAUGGCAUUUGGGACUGCAAGGCUGGAGUGCGGCAGAGGAGACUGGAAUUCCUGGUGUAGCAGUGAAAUGCGUAGAUAUCAGGAGGAACACCAAUAGCGAAGGCAGCUCGCUGGGACGGUACUGACGCUAAGGCGCGAAAGCGUGGGGAGCGAACAGG
rnacentral:rRNA from 1 species